AUUGAACGCUGGCGGCAUGCUUUACACAUGCAAGUCGAACGGACUUGAAGGGCUUGCUCUUCGAGUUAGUGGCGAACGGGUGAGUAAUACAUCGGAACGUGCCCAGUAAUGGGGGAUAACCUGCCGAAAGGCAAGCUAAUACCGCAUACGCCCUGAGGGGGAAAGUGGGGGACUCGUAAGAGCCUCACGGUUAUUGGAGCGGCCGAUGCCUGAUUAGCUAGUUGGUAGGGUAAAAGCCUACCAAGGCAACGAUCAGUAGCGGGUCUGAGAGGACGACCAGCCACACUGGCACUGCGACACGGGCCAGACUCCUACGGGAGGCAGCAGUGAGGAAUAUUGCGC
rnacentral:rRNA from 1 species